AUACACAGGAGACAGGGAGCCGAUCCCCAACAUAGUUCCGCUGCACAGUUUUUAUUCCAUCAGUGUGAAUUUAGUCAGGUCCUGACCACUCUCAUCCUCGAGCAUAUCAUCACACAGUUGCCCCUGCAACUGCUUCAGUAAAGCAGACUAAGAUCUACAUGGAGCCUCAUCCUGUCUUCAGAUACUCCCCUUUGCAGUUUGUACAGAUUAAACCAUGUCUUGUAACUCUGGAGAAGAUGAAACUCCCAGUGAACUUGUAAUGGACAGCCCUGAAGACACAUGCAAUAACCACUGAGUCUCAUCCAAGAGAGCAGGGAAGUUCCUGGAAUGUAGGCCAGUCAUUUCAAUCUAACAAAAAACAAUUGCCACCAUUUGUGGAGACCUUCCACGCUGAUGUUAAAGUGGAGCCAUAGAGCAAAAGACAUAACUCAGAACACCACAGAAAUUCAACCAAUCUACUUCUAGCCCUUCACUGUUUCACAGGGACAGAUGCCACGUCGCUGGUUUACUGCUGUGCAGCUCCUCCAGCUUAUACAAACUGAACAUCAUCACAGGAAGGAACAGACUUCAUAAUAAUACGAAGUUCUAUGCCAUUUAAUUCAAACCACUUUACAAAUACCAUUUAAAAAAUAAAACCUGAGCGACAAAAGCAAAUUAUAGACAGGACUGCCUCACUUCUAAGAAAUGCAGCUGACAUUACACCACAAUCCAAAGUCAAGAAAAAGACUGGCUAUCAAGCCAGCCUGGAACUAUAUUCGACAGCUGAAGUUUAAUAUUUGCAGUUAUGAGAACUAUUUCUGAAAAUAUUUCAGGUAUUUUAUAUCAUUUGUUGUAAAUCAUUGAUAUUCUUCUGACCAUAUACACAGAAAAAUCUGCAGUCUCUGAAGAAAGGAAAGCCUCUGAACUUUACAAACGUGGAGACAGAUGAACAAAUCUUUGCAACUACCAUUUCCAUGAGUGUGAUGUCCAGUAUGUUGUCAUACACAGCUUAACUUGCUAACUCAAGAAAAGGGAAGCUUUCAGUUGUAAAAACACAAACUAAAAGUCAGAACAGACAUACCUCCGAUUAUUGAAUUAUUUGGUAAACAGUGGGUUGGGUGACAUUUGCCAACUGAAGAGCAACUGGCAUAAAACAGUACUCACAAUUUAAGAGAUUAUGUUUAAGAAACCAGGAGGGUCUUCUGUCACUAUCUACAUCCUGACCAGGCAAUGGUGUGAGCAGACAGGCAGAAAUCAGUUUAUUCACGGACAGCUGUUCUUUAUCAGCUUCAUCUGAAUGCUCACAUAAACAACAUGUAGAAUUAUGAUAGACAUACACAAAGACAAUACCCCAAUAUUUCACUUACAAACUAAAGUUUUGCUGGUUUGAAAUAUAUUAGCAAUAGGUAUAUAUAUUUUAAUACUAACAGUCUACUCUGUGCUGAGACUAACAAAACUUCAGACCUUAUGCAAGGAAACUUAGAGUCAAGGACACACCAAGAACUUCCACACAAAUCUAUGCUUACAGAUCUUAUUGCAGAAGCAAGGUUGGAGAUGGCAGUCAAAUCUAAGAAAACAAAGUUAGAUAUGUAUUUAGAGGAACGGGAAAGAAGACUAAGGCACUUCCUGCACUGUGCAUUCUCUCACAAUCAUUUAACACUAUUGCACAACUGCAGAGUUGCAUCUGCAACCAGAACAAAAACAUUUAGCACUCUCAGCAUGUAUUUCAGUGCAAAAAGCAAUACAAAACCCAGUGCUAUCACCAGUUUAUAUAAUCUAAACACAGUUAAUAUUCCCACAGAGAAACAAAGUCCAAAGAAAUGAAUACAUCAUCUAAAAUCCUUGCGCUGACCCAUAGUCCCCAGCUUAGUGCUGAUCAUUGAAAUGCCUAGUAAAUACGUAGAGUUAACACAUCAGUGCUGAUGAGAGAGUUAAUAACUUCUUAAGUUACAGCGUCACACUGCCUCCAAACUCAGGCAGGCAUUGACACUACCUGAUGUUUGGUAUUUUUUCCACAGCUCUUUACAGUAUAAAAGCAGGGUUUUGCUUUGAUUAGAUUCUUCCAGAGCACAGUUCCAUAUGAAUGGAUGCAUAUUUUAACUAAAGAUGACAUGGAGUCCCAUCUGCUUUGUUGUAUUUUUCUGUAAAUGCUGAUCCUGCUGAUCUGUUAAGGGACAAACACAAACAUCUUUCUUUACUAAAUGUAGUAACUAUGGAUUACGCCUUCCUAACUUGAUCAGUUAUAGCUCCAUUUCUCUCUUCCAACUGAAAAUUUCCAUAAAGAUGCAGAAAUACUCAGAUACAUAAUUUAAAGAGAAGUCUUAAGAACCAUUAGGUUUAUUUCCAGGCAAAGAUGGCUCCCAGUUGUUUUCCUUGCACAGUCAUCUUUCCCUAGUUAUCUUCAGCAUGCAUAAUAGACACUACUCCUUUCUUUUACUUGAUUCUGUAUGGAUGCACUGAAUCCUUAAAAUGCAUCCAGUCACAAUACAGUAGUUUUGGGGGAAGAAUUUGUCAGAAAAAUGUCAUCUGUAUUUGCAGUGCUCUAUAAAUGAAGAUAUCACCAAUCUGAUACACUCUAGGUCAACUCUUCUUUUCUUUGGUGGUCACUUUUCAGCAACUGAAAUCACAAGGCAUAAAGUCAAUAGAUAUUCGAGCUAUUUAAAUAGCUCAAAGGAUAAAGGUCAUGCCUCUGAUGCAAUUUAUCUUUACAGGAAGCCACUCAAAUCUUGGAAACCACUACCUUGGAGAUAGCAGAUUCUGGGGGUUGUAUAGAUAAGAGGUGGGUAUAUUCAAACUAGAGAUAGCUUUUUUACAGAGUGUAUUUAAAUAGCUUAAAGCAAGGCCUUAGGUUAAAAAAAAAACAACCACAAACAAGUACCAUCAAUGUAUUUUACUCUGAAAAAUGUCCAUGAAGUCACAGCGAGUUGCUCUCUCCCACGCCAGUACCUUCCAAGGGCAUCCAGAGCCCAAGAAAGAAAAUCAGUGGUUAGAUGUUUCAGUUACUGCUGCCUCUUGGCCAAGUACUGUUUUCAGUCACGCUCUUCACUUUACUUCCAAGGUAAGGAUAAUUCUCCUAAACAGGAGGGAAAAAGCUUACCCCUUCACAAACUUCAAGCGCACUUCAGUGAGCCAGGCUAAACAGUUGACCAUGCCAAAGUAGUCAGUCCCACACUACCAUCUUCCCCUACCUGCUGCAUGCAAUGCUCUCCCUGCUUCCUUUAACUCAUGCCUGGCCUCUGCCUAACUCCACCAUGAGUCCAAUAGCUUGAUCACCUUGCCAGAAACUAGCUCUGCAAAACAACAACAGCAGCCAAACAGAACGUAAAAGAUAAAAAGGAAUAUCUUGUGACAAAGUAUCAAACUAUCACUUAGUCAGCUAAACAAGAGAACUGAUACCACUGAGAAAAAGGAAGAAGGAAAAGCUUGGGGUUCUCCAUAUUUCUCAGGAAAUCAGCUCCUACACAGGUAAAAAAAAAAAAAGGCAACUUAGGUGCCACCACUGCAUAGCCAUAUGCAAAUAGCAUCAGUAAAUAACUUGGUAAAUAAUAAAAAAAAAGUAGUGAAAUCAGACAAGCUGCAAGGGCAAUAUUUUCCUGACUUGCUGUAUAUAUUGCUACCAACAUGUGAAAAAUGACUGUUCACACAAAUUUGAAAUGCUUUGACCAGCUCUAUUAAGUCUACUAAAGGAAGUUUCAUUUUUGUCUCAAUUUACUCCGCAAAACAGAGCUCCAGCUUGUGUAACAGAGACAGCAGUAGCACCAUUAAAAAAUUCCACCUGAGGCCAGCUCCAUUCAGCAACCAGAGGAGAGGAGGAGAGCUAAUUAAAACCACAUUCCCUAAAAUCACCAGUCCUUAGUUACAUGUGGCAGAUACUAUGUUCUGUCUGGUACAGAUGACUGACCUCAAAACAGAAGAGGGAGCAGGGGAAGUGAAUGCAGUUACAACAAAACAUGCUCUGAAGGAAAAAGUGAUGUAAAGGCUAUUAGAAUCACUGGUAGUUGUAACUGGACAACAAGGAGAGCAGAAGUAGAGCUAGAGGACACACUAAGGGCACGCUCAUGCAAGCUUGGCACAGAUAAACCUAAUGAUAUGAACUGUAUUGUCUAUUUUCUUUCAGAUCAAUUCUCAGUAAUUUAAAGUUCUCUUAAAUAGUCAGCCCAGACAGGAAAGAUUCCAGUUUAAUUAACUACAGGCUUAAACCUACAGAGGGGCAUUCUGCAUCUCUUGAGACCACUGCACACCUUUUGCAAAGGAAAGCUGGAGGCAUCUUCUGAGAAUAAACAUCAAGACCACAGCUGCUCUGUUUCAAACUUGCCCCCACAGUGCCCAGAUCUCUGCAGAGUGCAGCACCCACCGUUUUUGCUACAACAGUCAGAAAGUUCUUGAUUCCUUAACAUGGGAACAUCAGCAUGUUGUUACUCCCAGACAUUUCUUUCUUCACUUUUCAAUGUUUUCUCUGUGCUAUCUGUCAUCACCUUGUUUUCUCAUUUUCCUUUUAAUUAAAGAUUAUUAUUCAAAGGAGGAAAUGUAGCACAAUUUGAGAAUUCAUUCAGCAUGUAUAGAGAUGCAUGUGGUCUACUGACUUAUACAAAGGAUCAGGAGACAAGAUGCUCAUAAGACCUAGUCUGACAGUCUCUUCUGGUCUUUGUGCAAGUCACUUAAGGUCAAAUGCCUUUCCCUUCCCAUGCUCAGAAUUUCCAAAUGGGAUCAAAUACCUUAGGACAGAAGAAAGGAUUACUCCACUAG
ensembl:lncRNA